rnacentral:rRNA from 1 species
CCUACGGGAGGCAGCAGUGAGGAAUAUUGGUCAAUGGACGAGAGUCUGAACCAGCCAAGCAGCGUGAAGGAUGACUGCCCUACGGGUUGUAAACUUCUUUUAUAUGGGAAUAAAACGUUCCACGUGUGGGAUUUUGUAUGUACCAUAUGAAUAAGGAUCGGCUAACUCCGUGCCAGCAGCCGCGGUAAUACGGAGGAUCCGAGCGUUAUCCGGAUUUAUUGGGUUUAAAGGGAGCGUAGGUUGAUUGUUAAGUCAGUUGUGAAAGUUUGCGGCUCAACCGUAAAAUUGCAGUUGAUACUGGCAGUCUUGAGUACAGUAGAGGUGGGCGGAAUUCGUGGUGUAGCGGUGAAAUGCUUAGAUAUCACGAAGAACUCCGAUUGCGAAGGCAGUUCACUGGACUGCAACUGACACUGAGGCUCGAAAGUGUGGGUAUCAAACAGGAUUAGAUACCCGAGUAGUC